rnacentral:rRNA from 1 species
GGUGGGGUAAGGCCCCCAGCUAGACGACUGGGUUGAUAGGCCGGAACUGUAAGCCCGGUAACGGGUUCAGGUGACCGGUACUAAUAGGCCGAGGACUUGACUAC